rnacentral:lncRNA from 1 species
AGUUACCCUGCUGGAACACCUGCUCGGGGAGGACAUCAGAAGAACCUCAACGUCCAUCAGUGGGGUAAGAAGCCAGGUGUGGUUCCCGUGUCUGCUCUCCGCAGCCCUCCUGGGAGGGUUUGAAGAGACAGCUGAGAGCGGCCAGCUGGGAAGAGCACGCUUGCCUUGUCAGCGGAGAGUAGGUUCUGAGCUCUGCUGAGUCAGCGUGGCCAGGCAGGGCUGGGGGGCCUCAGGGCUCCAGGCCCCACCUCUUACCUCUACAGUCUCCCACCCCGGCUGCCUGCCCCAGCCGGUCAAAAUGCCAGGUAACCCCCGGUGGAGAUAGGCACCUGUGAGAAGUAUCACUGCUUCGUGGGUCAGGGGCUUGGACCCACCAGGGCUGUGUCACCUGCGGACCAUGUGAACUCAACUCCCACCCCCCGGCCCCUGCCCAGCCUCCCCUACCAGGCUCGAUGUAAAGUGAUGGUGAAGUGAAAACAGAUUUGGGGCCCUUGCCACCUCUUUCUGGUUGGUAACUUUGUUUCUUGGACAACAAUGCAGAGUUUGAAGCCCAUCCAGGGACAACAUUCCAUCUGCCCCCUGCAAGUUCCGGUGCGGUCUUCGCUAAGAGGCCAAGCAAGAUGAUGUAAUCACCUGAUGAGUUCCUCCUGCCCACUGCACAGACAAAACCAAUUCACUGAGACGACGGCAUUGCAAUAAAGAAAGAGCUUAAUUGACACAAGGUUGGCCACUCCUGUCUCAAAUCAAAUCAAUCUGAAAAUUUGGAGGCUAGGGUUUUUAAAGGAUACUUUGGUGGGCAGGGGGCUGGGGAAUGGGGGCUGCUGAUUGGUUGGGGAUGCAAUCACAGGGUUGUGGAAAUUGGUCCUUGUGCACCAAGUCCACUUCUGGGCGGGCUCCCCAGGACCGGCUGAGCCAAGAGUUGAAGGUCUGGGUGGGGCCAUCCGGUCAUCAGAAAUGCAGGUAAAGACAUCUCAAAAGGCCAAUCUUAGGUUCCACAAUAGUGAAUUGGGACAGUUGCAAAUCUUGUAUCCUCUGGAAUAAUGGCUGGUUGUCAUUUAACUAUGCCUGCGUCUUAGCGAAAUUUAGGCCCCUCUCAUCCUCCUAACCUGGUGGCCUUUCUUUUCUUUUCAUUUUUUUUUAAGAAACAGGUUCUUACUCUGUCCCCCAGGCAGGAAUGCAGUGGUGUGAUCGUGGCUCACUGCAGCUUAAAACUCCUGGGCUCAAGUGAUCCUCCCACUU